AGAAAUUAUAGAAUAUUCUGCGAGGGGAAUAAAACAUUGGAAAUUAAAAACUUCACUCGCAGAGAGAGGCACAAGCCCGAGAAUAAACCUGAAAGGCUCCUUUCUCUCGCCUUCGGUCGCACAUGCCGUGCGGUGCCAUUGGCUGCUUCCCCUGGAAUAGAUUCCGUUGCCAUGAUACCAAGUUUGCUUUUAACGAACCCCAGAAAAUUAAUGGUAUUCAGAAGAUAAGUCCUUAAAGUGGAACCUAUUUUAAGAAAUUCCUGCUAAAUGGUUUACAAGUAGUCAGGAGGGAGGGGAAGGUUUCUCGGCGCGCGGCAGAGCCUGCGCCGCUUCCCCGCCGAUUCCUGCCGGGGUGCUGGGGUGUGUGGGGGUGGUUUUUGGGGUGUGUUCCAGCCUGGGAGUGUGAGAGGUGAGGGCAGGAUUGGUGCCCAGCAUCAGCAACCCGUGCUGGGCGCUGGGCAUCCCUCCUGCUGCAGCACAGGCAACGCUUGGAUCCUCCCGGCUGUCCCCGCACGGCCUCGCUGUGCUGGAACGCUUCCCCCGGCAGCCAGUGCCUUCCUCUGGUGCUUUGGAAGCCCAAACCCUGCCCUAACUCACACACAAAGCUACAGGAUCCACGGCUGGGCCAGACCUUGGAGAGCCUGAGCACCAGCCCAGCCAGGGCAUUGAUGCUGCAAAGACCCAGCAGUGAGGGGAGAAUGGAGGUGCCCUGGUGCCACCACCCUGCUCUGGCCGCCCUCGUACUGUGCCUGCAUCCCGCUGGAUGGUCCUGGUCCUGCCAUGGUUUAACAACAAGGGUGCCUGGAUCUGUCUGUGGAGCCUCCUCACUUCCCAAUUCCAAACACCCGAGAGCUCUCAGGCACGGAGGGCCCUCCCUCGCUGCCCAUUCCACCACAUCCCAAAGCACCACCCGAAAACACCUUCCCUGAGCUUCCCAGGAAUACCUGGGGACGGCCCAGCCUUUUGGGGUCACCCCUUAACAGCCUUUCCCCUCUCCCAGCACCAACCACGGGGCUGCAUCCAGCGCUCCAGGGCCCCCACUCAACCCCACACCCCUCGCUCUGCUGAGCCUCCCCGGGCACCUCAGGGGAGCAGGAGGGAAGGAGGCAGAGGGACUCAACUCCCAAAUCCACAGGCGGCAAAGGAGGAGCACGGAGGCUCCAGGAGGAACCCGGGGGUGGCCGAGAGCGGAGAGCUCUCGGAGUGAUGCUCCCAAAUCCCUCUCUCCCAAGAACAAAGCUGCAGCCUCCCCGCAGAUGCAGAACAGGCGACGAGCGGCGAUGAUUUAUUUCUCUCCCCCGGUAGAGAAAUCAGCCUCGGAAAAAGGGUUGGUGCUAAAUUACAAUUUGCAUGCGGUGAUAUAUAUUUAAGCAACUUUCCUUCCA